rnacentral:rRNA from 1 species
UGGGCGAAAGCCUGAUCCAGCCAUGCCGCGUGUGUGAAGAAGGUCUUCGGAUUGUAAAGCACUUUAAGUUGGGAGGAAGGGCAGUAAGUUAAUACCUUGCUGUUUUGACGUUACCAACAGAAUAAGCACCGGCUAACUUCGUGCCAGCAGCCGGCG